rnacentral:rRNA from 1 species
UACGGGGGGGAGCAAGCGUUGUUCGGAUUUACUGGGCGUAAAGGGCGCGUAGGCGGCCACCGCAAGUCAAUUGUGAAAUCUCCGGGCUUAACUCGGAAAGGUCAACUGAUACUGCGGGGCUAGAGUGCGGAAGGGGCAACUGGAAUUCUCGGUGUAGCGGUGAAAUGCGUAGAUAUCGGAAGGAACACCAGUGGCGAAAGCGGCUUCCUGGUCCAGCACCGACGUUCAGGCACGAAAGCGUGGGGGAGCAAACAGG